GCUCUGUGUCCCAAAGACACAUUGUGGAGCCUGACCAAUGUGUUUGGAUUCUUGCAGCCACCCCAGAAACUUCAGCCCCCAGCACUCCAGCUGCCAGUGCAGGUUCUGCAGCAUGGACAGCCACAGCUGGCUGUGGAAUACUCCUGGGAAAGAGGAAUUGCCACCGCUGGAUCUGGACAUGGUGCUUGAGAUGCUGGAGGAGAUAUUUUCUCCCUCUGCUCAGAUUUCCAUCCUGAUCUGCCUUGCCAGGAGGGCUAUCCUGCGUGGGAAGAAGGAUCAGAGGGAGAGCCUGUGACCAUCGGGCAGGUGGAAUCCUUAAGUGUACACAUAGAUUUAUAGAUUUCUACAAUUCUAUUUCUAUAUCCAUAUAGUACAGAUUUAUAGAGGUGUGUUUGUAUGUGCAUAUAUAUACAUCUAUACAAUUAAAUUGAUCUAUAUUGUUAUAGAUGGGACAGAAUUAGUUACAUUUCCAGAUUUUGAGAUUUACAUUUAUAUAUUUAUAGAGUUACAUUUAGACGCUUACAUGUAGAUGCUUACAUUUGGGCGCUUAGAUAUACAUUUAGAAAUGUGCAUAGGUUUUUAGUUCAAGGUAUGUGGAAGUUUAGAUGCAUAGAUUGACCCGUGUAGGCCUAGGCUGCAUUUUUAGCUCUUUUCCCCCUCAGCUGCCUUUUUCACCUCUUGCUUUUUACAGAAUCACAGAAUUUCUAGGUUGGAAGAGACCUUUAAGAUCAUCGAGUCCAACCCAUGUUCUAACACCUCAGCUAGAUCAUGGCACGAAGUGCCACAUCCAGUCGUUUUUUAAACACACUUUUCCUCCCCCGGUACCCCCUGUGUCCCCUGUCCCUGUGCUGCGUUCGAGCUGGCGGCCAGGCCGGGCGGAGCAGCACUUCCAGCCCCGGCUGUCCCUGGAGCGGUGGGAGCUGCCGCUGGCCCCAGGCACUGUCCCCUGAGGAGCUGCUGAAGGACGCUGCAAGGAAGACCUUGAGGACAGCCGGAGACUGACGGGAGGCAGCAGGGAGGAGCUGAAGGCCAGCAGCAAGAGCAGUGAACGGGGACCUGCUGCUGCCAGCCUGCAGAGAGACCGGCUGAGGCCACAGGCCCGGGGA